UUAUAUGAAAGAAUUGGUUAGGCUUGGAAUAAGGAUUAAAUUGCAUCAAUUUCAUUUUCAGAGCCUAGGGAUGAAAUUGGUGUAAUAGGCCCAAUUUGCCCGGGCCCAAAAGUAAAAAUACAAAUAAACCAAAAAAUAAAAUAAAAAACCAAUAACAGUCCUUUUAAAUGUUUAGUAUUACAAAGCCCAAACCUAACAUAAACUCGAUUCUAAACCUAAUGGCCCAAUGGCCCAACACCUAGCCUAACCGAAACUGAAACCCUAGCAAUAUUCGGCUCCCAGCGCCGCAGCAACCACA
rnacentral:lncRNA from 1 species